rnacentral:rRNA from 1 species
ACGUACGCUGGCGGCACGCCUAACACAUGCAAGUCGAACGAAGUAGCAAUACUUAGUGGCAGACGGGUGAGUAACAUGUAGGUAUCUGCCCUUUGGCCUGGAAUAACACGAGGAAACUUGUGCUAAUACCGGAUAAGUCUUUACAGAGAAAGCUUUAUGCACCAUUGGAUGAGCCUGCACUUGAUUAGUUUGUUGGUGGGGUAAUGGCCUACCAAGACUGUGAUCAAUAGCUGAUUUGAGAGGAUGAUCAGCCACAUUGGGACUGAGACACGGCCCAAACUCCUACGGGAGGCAGCAGUGGGGAAUCUUGCACAAUGGAGGAAACUCUGAUGCAGCGAUGCCGCGUGAGUGAAGAAGGCCUUUGGGUUGUAAAGCUCUUUCGUCGGGGAAGAAAAUGACUGUACCCGAAUAAGAAGGUCCGGCUAACUUCGUGCCAGCAGCCGCGGUAAUACGAAGGGACCUAGCGUAGUUCGGAAUUACUGGGCUUAAAGAGUUCGUAGGUGGUUGAAAAAGUUAGUGGUGAAAUCCCAGAGCUUAACUCUGGAACUGCCAUUAAAACUUUUCAGCUAGAGUAUGAUAGAGGAAAGCAGAAUUUCUAGUGUAGAGGUGAAAUUCGUAGAUAUUAGAAAGAAUACCAAUUGCGAAGGCAGCUUUCUGGAUCAUUACUGACACUGAGGAACGAAAGCAUGGGUAGCGAAGAGGAUUAGAUACCCUCGUAGUCCAUGCCGUAAACGAUGUGUGUUAGACGUUGGAAAUUUAUUUUCAGUGUCGCAGGGAAACCGAUAAACACACCGCCUGGGGAGUACGACCGCAAGGUUAAAACUCAAAUGAAUUGACGGGGACCCGCACAAGUAGUGGAGCAUGUGGUUUAAUUCGAAGAUACGCGCAGAACCUUACCAACACUUGACAUGUUCGUCGCGACUCUAAGAGAUUAGAGUUUUCGGUUCGGCCGGACGAAACACAGGUGCUGCAUGGCUGUCGUCAGCUCGUGUCGUGAGAUGUUGGGUUAAGUCCCGCAACGAGCGCAACCCUCACUUUUAGUUGCCAUCAUUAAGUUGGGCACUCUGAAAGAACUGCCAGUGAUAAGCUGGAGGAAGGUGGGGAUGACGUCAAGUCCUCAUGGCCCUUACGUGUUGGGCUACACACGUGCUACAAUGGUAUCUACAACAGGAAGCAAGACUGCGAAGUUAAGCAAAUCCCUAAAAGAUACCUCAGUUCGGAUUGCACUCUGCAACUCGAGUGCAUGAAGCUGGAAUUACUAGUAAUCGUGGAUCAGCGUGCCACGGUGAAUGCGUUCCCGGGUCUUGUACACACCGCCCGUCAAGGG